rnacentral:lncRNA from 1 species
AUGCUGCCAGCCAUGAGGGUUCUGGAUUCCUGACGGUUGCUCCAUUCCUAGGCCUAACUGAAAGGCAUUAUCAGUUAUACCUGAUGCAUGACCCCGCCCCAGCGUGGGCUCUCGCUGUGUUGGAGCCAGGCAGCCAGCUGAGCCCAUGCACACCGUCAAGGCUCUUCCCCGAGGGUGCACCCUCAGGCGCUCCCAGGAGCUUAACCGCAUGUAGUACCUGCUUGUGGCUUCUAUCUGUGUCUCUCAAGGCUUAGGACAACUCCAUGGGAUCGGUGUUGCCGAUGCCAACGGUGGGAACUAGCAAAGCAAUGAAAGUAAAGUGAAGAAUGGGAUCAGGAAAGCAAGGAGUCUUCACAAGUGACGUGGAGAAGGCUGCCAAUGCUUCCUUUCCUCGCUGGCAAGGAACUCAAGAGGCAACAGUCUGUACCCUAAUCUUAGGCCUGGUUGUGACCACUGCUACCACCACUACUCUGGGCAGAGAGUCAGAUAGAAGAUGGAUGGAAAGCAAGAGAGGGGGGCAGGAGAUCCUAAAGGAAAUAACAAAGCAUGGAUAUCUCCUUGGAAAGGAGAGAUCUAAAAUAAGGUUGAAACAAAGGAAAGGAUCAAAAUGGGAGUAGUUCUCAUUUUUUUUGUCUCUGAAGAAGAUGAACCCCAGGGAAGACUUGUGGUGCAGAGCCUCAUAAGAAGAGCGUGCUCUUCAGCUCAGCAAAUGGAAACAAGUUGCUGAAGAUGAAGAAAGGUAAACUUAGAAAACACUGCUAGGUAAGACUGUGUAAAUAGACUUAAGGAUUUUGUACAUUUAAGAUGCCAGAGGAGUGGUAAAAUAACCAUAAAUAGUUCAAGUAUCUAUUAAAUACUUGCUACAUUUUUGAGGACUGAUGAGGUGCUUACCACUAUUAGGCCCAUAUUAGAAUGGGGAAACAGAGCCAUUAGUUGGUUAAACACCUUGCCUGAGGUCACCCAUGGAGGGGAUAGAGGGAACAUCCCAGAGAGUCUGACUCUACACUCUUGCUUAUAUGAAUAGAUAUGCUGAUAUGAAUAGAUCAGGACUGAUGCGGAUGGAGUGACGGCUUCUUCUCCAGGGAAUCCUAGCAUUCCUGGUAGGAUUGUUGUCUAGACAUGGUUCUCUAAUCUAAUCUGUUGUAGACAGUCUUGACCAAUGACACACUGAUAUGAAUUUUAUCAAUGUCUGAUUACCUACCAAUUAACCACUGAGUAUUUCAGAGGACUUGUUAAAUAAUCAGCAAGUACAAAUUAUGGCCCUUACUCUCAAGAAAAUUGGGGAGACAAGAUUUACUCUAUAGAAACAAGAGAAAACAAUAGAAUCUCCACUUUCAUGUCCAUCCAAAUGGAUAAAGAGGCAACAUCUAGGCCAGGAGACACCAGCCUGAUCUUAUACAACCAGGGUUUAGGGAGCCACUAUUCCUUUGGGUUUCUUAAAGAAAUAGCAAAUUCUGAGAAAUAAGUUUCAGGUGAGCAACUUUUUUCACUGGUAUCAGUUGGAUGAACAGAAGCAUGUCCGUGAGCAGAGGAAAACUAGUGUGAAAAUUCUCGGUCUCCAUCCUUGACCUCUUUGUCAAGCUUCAAGGCCUCCGUUUCUUUACAGUUUUCUGGCCUGCCUGUGCAGGGGCUGAUGAGAUGUGUUUUAGCUCUUUUCAGCAAUACCCACGGGCCUCAUUUCAGAUGGAAUAGAUCAAACUAGACGGCAAGAGGGAGUUUUGAAGAAAUUAUAAUAUUCCAAAAAGGCUUGUCUUUAAGCUUCAUAAUCACAAACUAAGAGGAGCUCAUGUCGAAGACUUGUGUGAUAUUUCACUAGCCAGGCAGUUAGCUCAAAUAGCAGGUCCGAGCAUGCUGUCCCAGGAGUAGGCUCUUUAUCAACUCCAGAACUAUGAAUUAAUAAUUUACAAUGAUUUAUCUAACUUAAUUUACACAACUACCCUCAGAAAUCUUUCUAAACAUAUGCUAAUCUUAUUAUCUUCACAGUGCCUUGUUGGUAAAAGGCAUAAUGAAAGACCUUAAAGCAAUAAAUUAAAAGAACAAAGUUUCUUCUACGCGUGA